UUAAUUAGGUUAAAAUAUAGUUUUAGUUGAAUGUAACCCCACUCAAAAAGCAACAACAACAACAUCAAGUGACAACAACAACGUAAAUGUCACAACACUGAACUGGGACAAACUUAAAUUUCUGGUUUCCAACAUUUUAUUGAUACAGACUGUUACCUUACACUGUUACCUGCAGUGCAUCAACAAAGAAGCUGAAGAAAAGGAAUGAAAAUGGGAAUUUUAAAAAAUAUUGGAAUCUUCAGCAUUGGUCUUUAUUUUGGAAUAUAUAUUGAACAAAACUAUGAUGUUCCAUUCAGGGCAAACAAUCCACAAGAAGUCUACAACAAGAUCUUACAGUAUGUGGAAAGCAUUAAGAAGGAUAAAGACAGCUGACAACAUUCUAAUGCUUCUUGUUGCUUCUUUGUUAUAAUACAUUAAUUCGAAACUAGACCAUGCAACAAUAAUAUGAUCACCUUAAACAAUACCCAGAUCUUUCACGGUGUUUAUAGUAAAUCAUGCAUUAUUAGUGUGUACAAAAUGCUGUAUAGAGAUAGCGGUGUAGCAAUUUUUGUUAAAUGCAACUAUUGAUGAUAACUUGUAUUCUAUUAGUUCUUCGUGUGUUCUUCUUGUGUUCUUCAUCACAAUUUUUAUAUAAGAUAUUCAUGCAGGCAUGUCCAUUUGAGAUAGUACCAGAAGUGUAGGAAUAAGUGAAAUCUGUUUAUCGCUUGUAUUGAUAUAAUUCAAUGUUUGUGGAUAUUGUUCAAAUAUAAAUGGCUGAAUAGAU